rnacentral:lncRNA from 11 species
CAGUAUUUGACUGUAUGAGAAAGAGCUAAGUUUUUCUUAUCAUUUCUUGGUCAUGAGCUUCAUUCUCUGUGUGGUCUUAUGCUUUGACCAUUCAUAUUAUACCUUAAAAUAGAACAGUAAUUAAUUAAUGUUAUUAUAACUGGAGAAUUAUGCCUUUAAAGUGCUUUGGUCUCUUCCCCUGCUUCCUUUGCCUUAGAGCUAAUAGGAGUAUAAAGUAGAUUUGGAUCAAGAAGAUACUAUAGCAUAGAAGAAAGGAGUCAGCACAAUGAGUGGAAAAAAACAGCUACAACUAAAUGGCGACUUGUAGUGACCUAAGAUUUGAAUUUGUCGGUUUUGAGUGAAGGAAAACAACUCCUCUGAUUCCUCUUCUGAUUCUCAAGGGCAUGCUAUUGAAACCAUGAGGACAACACCAAAUUCACAGAAGGCCAGCAUGACUGCAAAUCUCCAGGCUCAAGAAGAUCAGCAAAAAGGAGAACACAAGGUGGGCAGCCCUGAAAAGAGUGAAGAAAUUCGAAAACCAUCCCAGAACGUUGGAUUAUCAAAAAGAAAUGGUAACCAGGCAAGUCUGCAACAUGAAAGAGAUCUGACUAUUUUUGCAGAGAAUAUAUCACCUUGUUGCCGUGUGACUAGGUCUCGUGCUGCCAGGUCAGCCAGGACCUCAGAAAAUUCUGUUAAGAAAGCUACUGUUCCUUUAGCUAAAGGGAGGAUAGCACUAGUGGAAAUUAGUGCUAAUGAGAGGCACAGUGCUGAAUUGCACUUUAAAAAAACACCACCCCCGGAAAAGAAGGUUUCACUGAGCAUCCCAUUGUCAUCUCAAGAGACCUCUACAAACAGAGAGCAACCUCUGUCCAGAGUUUCUUUGAUUGUGAUCCUAGAUACCACUGAAGCACAAAUAAAAAAAGAGGGGCGAGGAGCUUCCAAGCUGAAAAUUGCUAAUGGGUCAAUUGCCAAAACCACUAAAAGUAAAGAACCCAUCACAGAUGAGAAGACUGCAUGUGCUCAACAACAAGAGAAUUGUCAACCUUCUGAUAUGGAAGUCAAGUUGAACCUCAGUGAAGAUCCAUGGACACCCCGAGUACCAAAAGAAAAACGUCAGUCAGUGCGGCGAAGCCUAAUGGGUAGGCCAUCCCUGAAAUGCAGCACCUCUCUGGUUGCACGGUGCUCACUAAGUGCCAAAAGGAAAAGAGCUGUCCAGAAAUCUAUGUUGAAGCGUAAAGCAUCCCAGCAGUCAUCCAGUGCUUCUGGGCACCCAAGCUGUAAGUUUGUACACCAUGAGAUAGUAUUACUUUUCUUCACUCCCUCUAUUUUAUCUGCCUGUCCAUUGAUGUGUUGAAUCAAAAUGUUGGGAAACUGAAAUUAUUAUUAUUAUGUUUUAAGUAACCAUGGAUUUUUCAAGGAAGAGAAUCCUCGUGUUAAAAUAUCUGUCUCAGUUCAAGGUCUUUGAAGCACUUUCAAAAGUAGAAAAAAAUGAGGCCUGAUAAAUAGAGAAAGUCUUAAUUUUUGGCAGGUUUGAGUGAAAUGUGUGCAUUUAACUUGCUGCUGCAUUCUGCAACAUAAUGGGAACCAUUAGAUUUCACAGCAUUCACAUUCUAAUAUUCUAGAGUGCUAAUAAGAAACAUGAAUUAGGAUAGGAUGUGUUAGAGGACAGAAGUCUUUUUGAAAUAGGAAUCCACCUACUGAUCUAUGAUUUCAGAAUAAUCACAGUUUGUGAUAUAUAAUUUUUAUUAAAUGAUUUUAUAUCAAGUGUACAGGGAAAGAGUGAGAACAUAAUUUAUAGAAAAGUCCAGAAGAGAGUAGAAUAGAUAGGGAACUACAUCUAGAAAAAGAAUUAGAAUAAUCACAAUUUAGUCAUAUUUUCUACUGCAGCUUGCUCCAUUCAAAUUUCUCUCAAGAAGAGAGGUCUUAAUCUAAGUGAUGGAUAUAAUGUGUGUGUAAAUUAGGAAGAAAGUUGCUGGGGUUUUUUUUCUAAUUGUAGAGUUGUGUCCAUUCACUAGUCUUGGAAAAUAUUUUCUUUUCUUUCAAUUGGACCUUUUUUGUGCUUAAAAGCAUUGUGACUAGCGUUGUAAUCAAGAUUCUACAGAUCAAGAAAACAAAUGUUUAAGUCUGUUACUAGUUUAUUUUGUGUUUCCCUAACUUCCAUCGGUUUUUUGGUUGGAAAUUUAGAAAAUUAGCAUUUUGUUUCCCUUUUGGGGAGGACAGAACAUCCAAACUGGAUUGAUUUGCUUGCUUCUCUGGAGGCAUAAAACUGUGAGGUCACUCUAGCCCCUUCUACAUUGCCAUAUAAAAUCCAGAUUAUCUGUUUUUAACUGGAUUAUUUGGCAAUGUAGACUAAUACAGUCCAGUUCAAAGUAAUUUAUGUAGAUUAUUGGAUUUGAUAAUUUGGAUUAUAUGACAGUGUAGAAGGGGCUUCUGUAGGCAGAAUACUCCUACUUGCCAAUUCAGUUUUGUCCCUGCCUUCUCUCUAUUGGCAUGUUGUGGCUAGUCUCCGCUCUGCCGUUUUACUUUAUUUGAUUUCCCUUUGUUCUAUUUCCUUUCUAUCCUUUCAAAGGAAACCUUUUCUGCGUCCGCCUCUCUUGAGUAGCCUUUUAAAGGUCUUUUUCUUAGCCUCAUUCAUUCACCCCCUUCCCCCCUCAUCUGUCUGGGUUGCUACAUGGAUAAGGAAAAAUAAGUCUAUAUGUGGAGUUGUUUCCUAAAAGUACCAAAUCCAUCUGAACACAUUUUACAGGAAUUAAAAACACAUACUGAGGAUAUGCAUUCUUUUGCUAUAAAUUCCUUUUUCCAAGCCCUGUAUAGUAGUCUCGCUUAUCCAAAGUAAAUGGAUAAAUAAUAAAUUAGUAAUAAUAAAUAAUAAUAAUGGAUAAAUAAUAAAUGGAUAAUAAGGAGAUAUUAAGGAAAAGCCUAUUAAACAUUAAAUUAGGUUAUGAUUUUACAAAUUAAGCACCAAAACUUCGUGUUAUACAACAAAUUUGACAGUAAAAGUAAUUCAACAUACAGUAAUGCUAUGUAGUAAUUACUGUAUUUACGAAUUUAGCACCAAAAUAUCACGAUGUAUUGAAAAAUGC